rnacentral:rRNA from 1 species
CUCGUAGGCGGCCAACUAAGUCAGACGUGAAAUCCCCAGGCUCAACCUGGGAACUGCGUCUGAUACUGGAUGGCUUGAAUUCGGGAGAGGGAUGCAGAAUUCCAGGUGUAGCGGUGAAAUGCGUAGAUAUCUGGAGGAAUACCGGUGGCGAAGGCGGCAUCCUGGACCGACAUUGACGCUGAUGAGCGAAAGCGUAGGGGAGACAAACG